GAUAAAGUAAGCUAAAUUAUUAAGCUGUUGGGUUCAUACCCCAAAAAUGAAUGUAGGUAAAAUUUCCUUUAUUA
rnacentral:tRNA from 1 species